UAAUACGUAGGAGGCUAGCGUUAUCCGGAUUUAUUGGGCGUAAAGAGGGCGUAGGCGGCUUUUCAAGUCGGAUGUAAAAUCUCCCGGCUUAACUGGGAGGGACCAUUCGAUACUGUUAGGCUAGAGGGCAGCAGAAGGAGGUGGAAUUCCCGGUGUAGUGGUGAAAUGCGUAGAUAUCGGGAGGAACACCAGUGGCGAAGGCGGCCUCCUAGGCUGUUUCUGACGCUGAGGCCCGAAGGCGUGGGGAGCAAACAGGAUUAGAUACCCUGGUAGUCCACGCUGUAAAUGAUGGACACUAGGUAUGGGGAGUAUCGACCCUCUCCGUGCCGAAGCUAACGCUUUAAGUGUCCCGCCUGGGGAGUACGGUCGCAAGACUA
rnacentral:rRNA from 1 species